rnacentral:rRNA from 1 species
GACGAACGCUGGCGGCGUGCUUAACACAUGCAAGUCGAACGGAAAGGCCCUGCUUUUGUGGGGUGCUCGAGUGGCGAACGGGUGAGUAACACGUGAGUAACCUGCCCUUGACUUUGGGAUAACUUCAGGAAACUGGGGCUAAUACCGGAUAGGAGCUCCUGCUGCAUGGUGGGGGUUGGAAAGUUUCGGCGGUUGGGGAUGGACUCGCGGCUUAUCAGCUUGUUGGUGGGGUAGUGGCUUACCAAGGCUUUGACGGGUAGCCGGCCUGAGAGGGUGACCGGCCACAUGGGGACUGAGAUACGGCCCAGACUCCUACGGGAGGCAGCAGUGGGGAUUAUUGCACAAGGGGCGGAAGCCUGAUGCAGCAACGCCGCGUGCGGGAUGACGGCCUUCGGGUUGUAAACCGCUUUCGCCUGUGACGAAGCGUGAGUGACGGUAAUGGGUAAAGAAGCACCGGCUAACUACGUG